AUACGGAUAUCGUUUAACGAAUUGCCCGAUUGCCGAUUCACUGCGCCUACCAAUGAUGCCUUUCACUUUCAGACAGUUCCUCGCGCAUGAAAGGACUUCACUUAGAAAGUCAAGAUAAGAAAGGAUAAAGGAUGGUCUACGAUCAGGGAAUGCCUUUUUUGUUAAAGAGAAUUGGCCGUAGAGAGAGCGCCUAUCUCUCAUAAGAGAAGGAGAGCCACUUUUUUUGAUAGUAUAUUAAUGAGUAGGACUUAAAUUCCAAGCGCUCCUAGCUCAGAAACCACACACAGACAAA
rnacentral:lncRNA from 1 species